UACAUGGGGUGCAAACGUUGCUCGGAAUUAUUGGGCGUAAAGGGCUCGUAGGCGGUCCAUCGCGUCGGGAGUGAAAAGCUGGGGCUUAACCCCAGUCCUGCUUCCGAUACGGGUGGACUAGAGGUAGGUAGGGGAGAUCGGAAUUCCUGGUGUGAGCGGUGGAAAUGCGCAGAUAUCAGGAGGAACACCGGUGGCGAAGGCGGAUCUCUGGGCCUUACCUGACGCUGAGGAGCGAAAGCAUGGGGAGCAAACAGG
rnacentral:rRNA from 1 species